rnacentral:tRNA from 1 species
GGGGGUGUAGCUCAGUGGUAUAGUGCGUGCUUUGCAUGUUUGAGGUCUCAGGUUCAAUCCCUGACACUUGCA